ensembl:rRNA 5S_rRNA 5S ribosomal RNA
CGCCACAGCCAUAUCACCCUGUAGCCCAAGACCGAUUACUUACUGAAGCUAAGCAGGGCUGAGCCUGGUUAGUACCUAGAUGGGAGAUCACUGGGGAACACUAGGUUGCUGUUGGAA